UCAUAAAUAGGGUAAGGGUUUUGGGAAGUGGGCCGCACACCCCUGCCCAACUUUUCUGGAAGUACCCCCGGGAUGUAUUACAGGUCUACUCGGGUUUGUAAUACAUGUAGUUGCUUUAUGGCUGCAUUUUAGUUUGAAACUUAAGCCGCAGCGUCACAUGUUGGACGAAAGCUUAUUAAUUCUAGAGCAUUGAGUUCUUGUUGCUGUUGUUGCCAGCCGGGCGACAUUAUUGGACUCAUAAAAUUGGAUUUUACAAUAAAACCGAAUUAUCAAUGUUUAACUAAGGAAGCAUAUGAAGCAUACGUUGCGUUGUCAACAAGAAUCUGGACCUAAUUUUAAAAUUGCCAAGAAAUCAAAUUUCCUGCCUGCAACCCAAGUCCAUUUUGAUAAUUCAGUGGUGCAAUUCAUAGCAUCGUAACAAACUUCAGUCGAAAUUAUGAAAUGGAAGGUAGUUGCAAGCCAUUAUUUAAGAUGGUUUUAAUGAAAAUAUCGCUAUUCACGCUAGUUCCUUAUCCACACCAAUCCACCAUCCAUACCAGUCCUUAUGUUUCGGUCCGGAUCAUUUGCGGUCCAAUUUGAGGAUCAUUUGUGGUCCAAUUUGGGGAUCCUUUGCGGUCCGGGAUCAUUUGUGGUCCAGGGAUCAUUUGCGUAUCCGUACAGAGCUGCUAUCGUUCUGCAAAACUUAAAACAUUGAAUAACAGGAUACCGAGGUUACUGUAAAUGAAACUCUUCCAAAACUGUGGGGAUGCAAAUUAAGUCGUAAGUAGUUUAAGAAUGUUGGCAGCCACUCAUCGGAAGGAUCGAUCGACUCCUUGCGCUCGGCUAAUGUCACAUUUUCGCUCAGGUUGUUUUGGUAUAUUAUUUACAGAAUGCACAUCACGAGAAUUACGAUCUUGGUUGUGAUGCUGUUCGUAUCGGUGGAAAGAUCUUCAUCUUCACCAGUACAGGUAAACAAAACCAAAGUCCUCAUCCUUGGCGCUGGACUCUCAGGAAUCAAAGCAGCAAAGACACUGCUGGACAAAGGCAUCACUGACUUUCUGAUUCUUGAAGGACAGAAUUACACUGGAGGCAGAAUACAUGCUGUGCCAUUUGCGGGUUUAAAAAUCGAGGCAGGAGCGAACUGGAUUCAGUUCACAAACGUCGAAGAUACAGCGCCGUUCGUGAAGCUGAAAGACGAGAAAAAGUUGAAUGGUAUUCUUUCUAAUUACUCUGACUUUCUCGUGAGAGACGAAGAAGGCAAUGAUAUCACUGAUUUUUCAGUUUAUGACGAAUAUCUUGACAAAGUAGACAGACACGUUGAAGAAUACCUGGAAGCAAGGAAAGAAACAGAAUUGCCAGAUAUUCCAGCUCGUGUUGGUCUCCAGUUAAUGGGAUGCAAAACUGAAAAACAACCGAUCAGGAAAGUAGUUGAAUACUUCAACUUUGAUUUCGAGUAUGGAAAGCGCCCAGAACUGACGUCUUUCUUCCAGCUGUCUGAGGGAGGAGAUGAAUUCUUUGUCUCUGACCAGCGCGGGUUUUGGUCAAUGUUUGAAGAUAUCUAUCAACCCUUGACCGACCGAAUUUUAUUGGGCAUAACCGUGACAGAAAUCAAGUAUUCUGACACAUCAUUUGAAGUUACCACAUCCAAUGGCGACAAAGUUAUCGCAGAUUACGCUCUGUGUACAUUCAGUACUGGAGUGCGACAUAGUGACUUUUAACCCACCCCUCCCUGAAUGGAAAAAGGAAGUGAUCUUUAAAAACCCGUUGACGGUUUACACGAAAAUCUUCCUGAAAUUUCCAAGCAAAUUCUGGGACGAUCACGAAUAUAUCCUGUACGCCUCUGAAGUGCGCGGUCGUUUUCCCGUGUUCCAAGACUAGGAAAGACCAGGCAUUUUACCAAAUGGAAGCAACAUUUUAUUGGUCACUGUGACGGAGGACGACGGGAGAAGGAUUUAACGACAAGCAUACAAUGAAACCAAGGCAGAGGUCAUGAAAAUGCUUAGAGAGAUUUACGGACAGGGGAUUCCUGAUGCAACAGCGAUUUACUAUUACCGCUGGUCACGGGACCCGUUUACCCAAGGUUCAUAUUCAGAACCUGUUGUGGGCUUUACUUCCGAGGAUUUUAACAAGCUUGGACAGAUCCUGGGGCGACUCUACUUUGCUGGCGAAGCGACGAGCGAGGAUUGGUAUGGUUUCAUACAAGGAGCCUACUUUACAGGAGAAGAGAAAGGGAAACUGAUCGCGUGUCAAAUUCUCUCAAGUGACAGUGAAUGUAAAGCUCCAGAAAAGGAAAAGCCGAAAAGCAAAGCAACGUUUGCGGCUAGAUCUGCAGCUGGAGUUUUGGUGAUUUCACUUUUGUGUUCACCUUUGUGGAUUUAAACUGUAUCACAGGGAGCUCUCACAUCCGUUUAGAAUAUGAAUAAAAGAUUAACCUACCUUUAUCGCGCGUGUUUUGUGGUUUGU
rnacentral:misc_RNA from 1 species